rnacentral:rRNA from 1 species
UCUACGGGAGGCUGCAGUGAGGAAUAUUGGUCAAUGGACGAGAGUCUGAACCAGCCAAGUAGCGUGAAGGAUGACUGCCCUACGGGUUGUAAACUUCUUUUAUAGGGGAACAAAACACGGUAUGCAUACCCCCUUGUAUGUACCAGAUGAAUAAGGAUCGGCUAACUCCGUGCCAGCAGCCGCGGUAAUACGGAGGAUCCGAGCGUUAUCCGGAUUUAUUGGGUUUAAAUGGAGCGUAGGGGGAUGGUUAAGUCAGUCGGGAAAGUUUGGGGCUCAACCGUGAAAUUGCAGUUGAAACUGGGAGUCUUGAGUACAGUAGAGGUACGCGGAAUUCGUGGUGUAGCGGUGAAAUGCUUAGAUAUCACGAAGAACUCCGAUUGCGAAGGCAGCUCACUGGACUGCAACUGACGCUGAUGCUCGAAAGUGUGGGUAUCAAACAGGAUUAGAUACCCCUGUAGUC